rnacentral:sRNA from 1 species
ACCCCUCUCUGCGUAUGGCCAGCGCCUCUGGCCUGAGUUGACGGAGCUCUUCCUGUGGCCAGACAUCUACGUGUGCAUGAUCUCCUAUGCACACAACGUGGCGGCCCAGGGCAAGUACAUAGCUAUUGCCAGCACUACUGUGGAGACCACGGACCCUGAAAAGGAGGUGGAGCCGGCUCUGGAGCUGUUGGAGCCCAUAGACCAGAAGUUUGUGGCUAUCAGUGACUUGUAUGAGCCCAUUGAUGAUGGUUGUGAGAGCCAGGUAAGCAGCUCGUCCCAGCCCUGGCUCCUGGCUGCCCGCCCAGGACACCUGCCUGACUCACCCUGGGCGCUGGGCUCUGGCUGUUUCCAGGUGUUCUGUUCCUGCUCCUACGAUGCCACCACACACUUUGAGACAACCUGCAACGACAUCAAAGACAUCUACAAACGCAUGGCUGGCACGGCCUUUGACUUUGAGAACAUGAAGCGCAAACAGAACGACGUCUUUGGAGAAGCUGAGCAGUGAUUGUGGCCGCCCCCAGCCGCUGCUGCCCCAGCCUGUGUCUGUUCUC